GACGAACGCUGGCGGCGUGCUUAACACAUGCAAGUCGAACGGAAAGGCCCUGCUUUUGUGGGGUGCUCGAGUGGCGAACGGGUGAGUAACACGUGAGUAACCUGCCCUUGACUUUGGGAUAACUUCAGGAAACUGGGGCUAAUACCGGAUAGGAGCUCCUGCUGCAUGGUGGGGGUUGGAAAGUUUCGGCGGUUGGGGAUGGACUCGCGGCUUAUCAGCUUGUUGGUGGGGUAGUGGCUUACCAAGGCUUUGACGGGUAGCCGGCCUGAGAGGGUGACCGGUGACAUUGGGACUGAGAUACGGCCCAGACUGCUACGGGAGGCAGCAGUGGGGAAUAUUGCACAAUGGGCGGAAGCCUGAUGCAGCAACGCCGCGUGCGGGAUGACGGCCUUCGGGUUGUAAACCGCUUUCGCCUGUGACGAAGCGUGAGUGACGGUAAUGGGUAAAGAAGCACCGGCUAACUACGUG
rnacentral:rRNA from 1 species